rnacentral:rRNA from 1 species
ACAGGGAUUGCCCUAGUAACGGCGAGUGAAGCGGCAACAGCUCAAAUUUGAAAUCUGGACGUUUAGAGUCCGAGUUGUACUUUGCAGAGGGCGCUUUGGCUUUGGCAGCGGUCCAAGUUCCUUGGAACAGGACGUCACAGAGGGUGAGAAUCCCGUACGUGGUCGCUGGCUAUUGCCGUGUAAAGCCCCUUCGACGAGUCGAGUUGUUUGGGAAUGCAGCUCUAAAUGGGAGGUACAUUUCUUCUAAAGCUAAAUAUUGGCCAGAGACCGAUAGCGCACAAGUAGAGUGAUCGAAAGAUGAAAAGCACUUUGGAAAGAGAGUCAAACAGCACGUGAAAUUGUUGAAAGGGAAGCGCUUGCAGCCAGACUUGCUUGCAGUUGCUCAUCCGGGCUUUUUUGCCCGGUGCACUCUUCUGUAGGCAGGCCAGCAUCAGUUUGGGCGGUAGGAUAAAGGUCUCUGUCACGUACCUCCUUUCGGGGAGGCCUUAUAGGGGAGGCGACAUACUACCAGCCUGGACUGAGGUCCGCGCAUCUGCUAGGAUGCUGGCGUAAUGGCUGUAAGCGGCCCGUCUUGAAACACGGACCAAGGAGUCUAACAUCUAUGCGAGUGUUUGGGUGUCAAGCCCGAGCGCGUAAUGAAAGUGAACGGAGGUGGGAACCCGCAAGGGUGCACCAUCGACCGAUCCUGAUGUCUUCGGAAGGAUUUGAGUAAGAGCAUGGCUGUUGGGACCCGAAAGAUGGUGAACUAUGCUUGAAUAGGGUGAAGCCAGAGGAAACUCUGGUGGAGGCUCGCAGCGGUUCUGACGUGCAAAUCGAUCGUCAAAUUUGGGCAUAGGGGCGAAAGACUAAU